CCUAAUACAUGCAAGUCGAGCGAACUCAAUUAAAGCUUGCUUUAUGAGAGUUAGCGGCGGACGGGUGAGUAACACGUGGGCAACCUGCCCUGUAGACUGGGAUAACUUCGGGAAACCGAAGCUAAUACCGGAUAAUCUUUGGAACCUCAUGGUUCUAAAGUGAAAGUUGGGUUUACCUAACACUACAGGAUGGGCCCGCGUCGCAUUAGCUAGUUGGUAAGGUAACGGCUUACCAAGGCGACGAUGCGUAGCCGACCUGAGAGGGUGAUCGGCCACACUGGGACGCCUCUCGCUUCGCAUCCUUGCCUGAUUAGCUCUCGUGUUCUUAUGGCAAUCGG
rnacentral:ncRNA from 1 species